rnacentral:tRNA from 1 species
GUACCUGGCUACGAACCAGGCGGUCGGAGGUUCGAAUCCUCCCGGACGCGCCA